rnacentral:hammerhead_ribozyme from 1 species
AUCCAGCUGACGAGUCCCAAAUAGAACGAAACACGCGUCCUGUAU